rnacentral:rRNA from 1 species
CAGGCUUAACACAUGCAAGUCGAGGGGCAGCAUUUUAGUUUGCUUGCAAACUGAAGAUGGCGACCGGCGCACGGGUGAGUAACACGUAUCCAACCUACCGAUAACUCCGGAAUAGCCUUUCGAAAGAAAGAUUAAUACCGGAUAGCAUACGAAUAUCGCAUGAUAUUUUUAUUAAAGAAUUUCGGUCAUCGAUGGGGAUGCGUUCCAUUAGUUUGUUGGCGGGGUAACGGCCCACCAAGACUACGAUGGAUAGGGGUUCUGAGAGGAAGGUCCCCCACAUUGGAACUGAGACACGGUCCAAACUCCUACGGGAGGCAGCAGUGAGGAAUAUUGGUCAAUGGGCGAGAGCCUGAACCAGCCAAGUAGCGUGAAGGAUGAAGGCUCUAUGGGUCGUAAACUUCUUUUAUAUGGGAAUAAAGUUUUCCACGUGUGGAAUUUUGUAUGUACCAUAUGAAUAAGGAUCGGCUAACUCCGUGCCAGCAGCCGCGGUAAUACGGAGGAUCCGAGCGUUAUCCGGAUUUAUUGGGUUUAAAGGGAGCGUAGGUGGAUUGUUAAGUCAGUUGUGAAAGUUUGCGGCUCAACCGUAAAAUUGCAGUUGAAACUGGCAGUCUUGAGUACAGUAGAGGUGGGCGGAAUUCGUGGUGUAGCGGUGAAAUGCUUAGAUAUCACGAAGAACUCCGAUUGCGAAGGCAGCUCACUAGACUGUCACUGACACUGAUGCUCGAAAGUGUGGGUAUCAAACAGGAUUAGAUACCCUGGUAGUCCACACAGUAAACGAUGAAUACUCGCUGUUUGCGAUAUACAGUAAGCGGCCAAGCGAAAGCAUUAAGUAUUCCACCUGGGGAGUACGCCGGCAACGGUGAAACUCAAAGGAAUUGACGGGGGCCCGCACAAGCGGAGGAACAUGUGGUUUAAUUCGAUGAUACGCGAGGAACCUUACCCGGGCUUAAAUUGCAACAGAAUAUAUUGGAAACAGUAUAGCCGUAAGGCUGUUGUGAAGGUGUUGCAUGGUUGUCGUCAGCUCGUGCCGUGAGGUGUCGGCUUAAGUGCCAUAACGAGCGCAACCCUUAUCUUUAGUUACUAACAGGUUAUGCUGAGGACUCUAGAGAGACUGCCGUCGUAAGAUGUGAGGAAGGUGGGGAUGACGUCAAAUCAGCACGGCCCUUACGUCCGGGGCUACACACGUGUUACAAUGGGGGGUACAGAAGGCGGCUACCUGGUGACAGGAUGCUAAUCCCAAAAACCUCUCUCAGUUCGGAUCGAAGUCUGCAACCCGACUUCGUGAAGCUGGAUUCGCUAGUAAUCGCGCAUCAGCCAUGGCGCGGUGAAUACGUUCCCGGGCCUUGUACACACCGCCCGUCAAGCCAUGAAAGCCGGGGGUACCUGAAGUACGUAACCGCAAGGAGCGUCCUAGGGUAAAACUGGUAAUUGGGGCUAA